UAAUAUUUUUUUAGUAAAUCAUUGAACUGAUCAAAUGAAUAGUAACUUUUUGCAAUAAACUAUUGGACUGAUUAAAAAAAGAAAAAAAUCUAGCAGCACUCUGGAUUUAAGUAACAAAUGUACAUUGUGAUUUCUACCUAUAGUAACGUGAACCAAACAUUUAUAUGCCAGUUAUAUGAAAAAUAAAAAUCACAUUCUCAAACACAGAUAAUAACAAUUAACAUUUCAUAUAAUAUUCUUCGUUAUCUUAAAACAUUGUGUAUUCCUUCGUUCUGGAAAAUGUGUUGCCCAAGGCAACGUGAAACUGAAGCUUACCAUUUGAAUAGUUAAUUAUCUUCGUCUGCUGUUACACAACUUAAAUUAACUAAGAAUACAGGGGAGCACAAACAGCAGUCCCCUCGAUACAACUAAUGGGAGGAGACACGCAAGAAGAAACAAUGGCGAGGCAUAAGCAAGGAAUGGUGGGUGAUGAUGAAGACUCGGAAAGUGUGGCAGACUUUGUGCCACUGAAAGGGAAGAUGAGGAUGCCGCUCAUCGGGAUUACUAUGAGGAUGUGGCACUUGUCUAUCAUCUGAAGGUGCAUCCAAGCAAUGAUACAUGGAGCAAGAAACUUGGAACCUCCUACUAAUGAUAAAAUGGUCUGGAGAGCACUAACAAAAUGCCUCAAACAGGAUCUCCACACCAACAAAAAGAUUUUCACUUCUCACUGGCAACUAAACCAAGACUUCUUCCUCUCCUCUACAGUUAGUGCCUACAAUAAAGGAGGGUUGAAGGUGAAAGAUCUUGUCAGCAGUUUUCCACCACUCAAGAUGAACAUGAAAAGAAAUGACAUCUUAUACUUAGGUACAGAUAUCUGGAAAAUCUUCAAAGCAACAAAAUAUGACAUCCUUAUCAACAAAAAACUUGUCAAGGAAAUGUUCAACAGAAAUCCAGACAGUGGUAUGCUAAAACUCCCUACAAAAAUACAGCAAAACAUGUGCCUCUUGUGGAAGAGGUUGGAGAGACAGAUAAGUGAUGUCCAGUUUUAGGCACAAGAGAAUACAAUGGGUUUAUAAUAAAAUUACAUUGAAAUAUGUAUAAUUCUCUCUCUCUCUCUCUCUCUCUCUCUCUCUCUCUCUCUCUCUCUCUCUCUCUCUCUCUCUCUCUCUCUCUCUCUUAUAUAUAUAUUCUUUUUUCAUGAAGAAAGGACUUUUCUCUUGUCAAACAUACUUAGUCCUUGAAAACAUUUUAACGUUUCUCAGUAAUACUAACCUACUUUAUAAUGAUAUCUGUCAUACAGGUGGAAAUAAUCUUACAGGUGAAGCUAUUAACUGUAUACUAAUUUUUACAACUAGA